rnacentral:rRNA from 1 species
GAUGAACGCUCGCGGCAGGCCUAACACAUGCAAGUCGAGGGGGAAGUUACUUUCGGGUGACUGAGACCGGCGUACGGUUGCGUAACGCGUAUACAAUCUGCCUUUCACUGUUUUAUAUCCCGAAGAACUUUGGAUUACUUCCCCAUAGUAUAUAUGCACGGCAUCGUUUUUAUAUUAAAGCUUUGGUGGUUAAAGCUGAGUAUGCGUUCUAUUACCUAGUUGGAGAUGUAACGGCUCCCCAAGGCGAUGAUGGAUAGGGGUUCUGAGAGCGAUGUCCCCCACACUGGUACUGAGGUACGGACCAGAAUCCUACGGGAGGCAGCAGUGAGGAAUAGAGGACAAUGGUAGGAAAACCAAUCCAGCCAUGACGCGUGCAGGAGGAAGGUCGUAGGGAUGGUAAACUGACUUUGAAAAGAAAGAAUAAGGGCUAAGCGGAGUUUGAUGACGGUACCUUACGAAUAAGCACCGGCUAACUCCGUG